UCCCCUCAAUGGGUAGUAAAAACAAAAUCAUUGUUCUAGUGCAUAUAUAUGUAGUAUUUCAAUAGUAUGCAAUUAAAACUACGUGCCCAGUCAAGCCCGAUUUACAAUACUUGCGAAAUAUUUUCACAAAAUUUCAAUCAAUAUGAUUUAGGAUGCCUCUCCAUUAAAAUAUUUUCAAACCUACAUGCAUGCGUCUUUCCAUGCUCAUAUCUUAAAAACGUUGUAUUUCAGGUUUAAAUGUAAUUGAUGAGCUGAAUGGCGUACUCAUCAAACUUCUUCAUUAGUAAUUGAGGGUGCAUCGAAAACGUCAUGAGGUCUGCAACACUUAUAGUUUAUAUACAUAAAUAAAGUGCAGUCUAAGACGUUAGUCUUACGGUCAAGUUAUUGGAAUAGUGCUUAAGAGUAGUGCCCAAAAAAAUUAAUGAAGUUUAAAAAUUUUCAGAAAAGGGCUAGAUUUUUUAAAGGAUAUACAUACUUACAAAUAUAUGCAGAUACUUAUUUAUAAGAAAUUAUAUUUAAAGUGAAAGUGAAAGGGUAAAUGCCUAAUUUGCUUAUAUCUCCUUUAAUGAGGGGUUAUUAAAUUCGUUAUUUGCUUAAAAUGAAUAU